rnacentral:rRNA from 1 species
GCGCAGGCGGAGGGGCUCGCGGCCUAUCAGCUAGUUGGUGCGGUAACGGCGCACCAAGGCAGUGACGGGUAGCUGGUCUGAGAGGAUGGCCAGCCACAUUGGGACUUAGACACGGCCCAG